ACAGGAUUCCCCUAGUACGGCGAGUUUCUCCGGAAGAGAAAAAUUUGAAAUUUGCCAGUCUUCGAUUGUCCGAGUUGUAAUCUAUAGAGGCGUUUUCCGUGCCGGACCGUGUCCAAGUCUCCUGGAAAGGAGUAUCAAAGAGGGUGAUAAUCCCGUACUUAACACGACCACCGGUGCUCUGUGAUACGUCUUCUACGAGUCGAGUUGUUUGGGAAUGCAGCUCAAAAUGGGUGGUGAAUUCCAUCUAAAGCUAAAUAUUGGCGAGAGACCGAUAGCGAACAAGUACCGUGAGGNAAAGAUGAAAAGCACUUUGGAAAGAGAGUUAAACAGUACGUGAAAUUGUUGAAAGGGAAACGAUUGAAGUCAGUCGUGUUCUUUGGAUUCAGCCAGUUCUGCUGGUCUACUUCCUUUGAACGGGUCAACAUCAGUUUUGUCCGGUGGAUAAAGGCAGUAGGAAUGUAGCUUCUCCGGAAGUGUUAUAGCCUAUUGUCACAUACACUGGGUGAGACUGAGGACUGCAGCUCGCCUUUAUGGCCGACCUUCGGGUACGUUCGAGCUUAGGAUGUUGACAUAAUGGCUUUAAACGACCCGUCUGGAAACACGGACCA
rnacentral:rRNA from 1 species